rnacentral:miRNA from 1 species
UAUAUAUAUGUGCUUUUAAAAAGCAUUUAUUGUUUGUGCAUACAUAUUUUUGUGCAUAUAUACAUACACACAGAUAUAUGCAUGCAUGUAUAUAUA